GUGCUUGCUUCAGCAGCACACAUACUAAAACUGGAACCAUACAGAGAAGAGUAGCGUCUCUGCGCAAGGACGACACAGAAAUUUGUGAAGCAUUCCAUAUUUUU
ensembl:snRNA U6 U6 spliceosomal RNA